rnacentral:rRNA from 1 species
ACGGAAGGCAGCAGUGGGGAAUAUUGGGCAAUGGGGGAAACCCUGACCCAGCAACGCCGCGUGAAGGAAGAAGGCUUUCGGGUUGUAAACUUCUUUUACCAGGGACGAAGGACGUGACGGUACCUGGAGAAAAAGCCACGGCUAACUACGUGCCAGCAGCCGCGGUAAUACGUAGGUGGCAAGCGUUGUCCGGAUUUACUGGGUGUAAAGGGCGUGUAGGCGGAGCAGCAAGUCAGAUGUGAAAGCACGAGGCUCAACUUCGUGUCUGCAUUUGAAACUGCUGUUCUUGAGUGCUGGAGAGGCUAACGGAACUCCUAGUGUAGCGGUGAAAUGCGUAGAUAUUAGGAAGAACACCAGUGGCGAAGGCGGUUAGCUGGACAGUAACUGACGCUGAGGCGCGAAAGCGUGGGUAGCAAACAGGAUUAGAUACCCUGGUA